rnacentral:piRNA from 1 species
UCCAGUAGUUUCCAUCCAUUGGGUCUCAUC